CCUACGGGUGGCUGCAGUGGGGAAUAUUGGACAAUGGGCGAAAGCCUGAUCCAGCCAUGCCGCGUGUGUGAAGAAGGCCUUCGGGUUGUAAAGCACUUUCAGUGGGGAAGAAAGCCUUGGGGCUAAUACCCUCGAGGAAGGACAUCACCCACAGAAGAAGCACCGGCUAACUCCGUGCCAGCAGCCUCGGUAAUACGGAGGGUGCGAGCGUUAAUCGGAAUUACUGGGCGUAAAGCGCGCGUAGGCGGUCUGAUAAGCCGGUUGUGAAAGCCCCGGGCUCAACCUGGGAACGGCAUCCGGAACUGUCAGGCUAGAGUGCAGGAGAGGAAGGUAGAAUUCCCGGUGUAGCGGUGAAAUGCGUAGAGAUCGGGAGGAAUACCAGUGGCGAAGGCGGCCUUCUGGACUGACACUGACGCUGAGGUGCGAAAGCGUGGGUAGCAAACAGGAUUAGAUACCCUGGUAGUC
rnacentral:rRNA from 1 species